CAUGCAAGUCGAGCGGACAGAUGGGAGCUUGCUCCCUGAUGUUAGCGGCGGACGGGUGAGUAACACGUGGGUAACCUGCCUGUAAGACUGGGAUAACUCCGGGAAACCGGGGCUAAUACCGGAUGCUUGAUUGAACCGCAUGGUUCAAUUAUAAAAGGUGGCUUUUAGCUACCACUUACAGAUGGACCCGCGGCGCAUUAGCUAGUUGGUGAGGUAACGGCUCACCAAGGCAACGAUGCGUAGCCGACCUGAGAGGGUGAUCGGCCACACUGGGACUGAGACACGGCCCAGACUCCUACGGGAGGCAGCAGUAGGGAAUCUUCCGCAAUGGACGAAAGUCUGACGGAGCAACGCCGCGUGAGUGAUGAAGGUUUUCGGAUCGUAAAACUCUGUUGUUAGGGAAGAACAAGUACCGUUCGAAUAGGGCGGUACCUUGACGGUACCUAACCAGAAAGCCACGGCUAACUACGUGCCAGCAGCCGCGGUAAUACGUAGGUGGCAAGCGUUGUCCGGAAUUAUUGGGCGUAAAGCGCGCGCAGGCGGUUUCUUAAGUCUGAUGUGAAAGCCCCCGGCUCAACCGGGGAGGGUCAUUGGAAACUGGGGAACUUGAGUGCAGAAGAGGAGAGUGGAAUUCCACGUGUAGCGGUGAAAUGCGUAGAGAUGUGGAGGAACACCAGUGGCGAAGGCGACUCUCUGGUCUGUAACUGACGCUGAGGCGCGAAAGCGUGGGGAGCGAACAGGAUUAGAUACCCUGGUAGUCCACGCCGUAAACGAUGAGUGCUAAGUGUUAGAGGGUUUCCGCCCUUUA
rnacentral:rRNA from 1 species